rnacentral:rRNA from 1 species
GAUGAACGCUGGCGGCGUGCCUAAUACAUGCAAGUCGAGCGAACAGACGAGGAGCUUGCUCCUCUGACGUUAGCGGCGGACGGGUGAGUAACACGUGGAUAACCUACCUAUAAGACUGGGAUAACUUCGGGAAACCGGAGCUAAUACCGGAUAAUAUAUUGAACCGCAUGGUUCAAUAGUGAAAGACGGUUUUGCUGUCACUUAUAGAUGGAUCCGCGCCGUAUUAGCUAGUUGGUAAGGUAACGGCUUACCAAGGCAACGAUGCGUAGCCGACCUGAGAGGGGGACGGGCCACACUGGAACUGGGACACGGUCCAGACUCCUACGGAGGCAGCAGUAGGGAAUCUUCCGCAAUGGGCGAAAGCUUGACGGAGCAACGCCGCGUGAGUGAUGAAGGUCUUCGGAUCGUAAAACUCUGUUAUUAGGGAAGAACAAAUGUGUAAGUAACUAUGCACGUCUUGACGGUACCUAAUCAGAAAGCCACGGCUAACUACGUG